rnacentral:rRNA from 1 species
AUUGAACGCUGUCGGCAGGCCUCACACAUGCAAGUCGAGCGGAGCGGCGGACGGGUGAGUAAUGCCUCGGAAUCUGCCUGUUAGUGGUGGAUAACGUCCGGAAACGGACGCUAAUCCCGCAUACUAUCAGAUGAGCCUAGGUCGGAUUAGCUAGUUGGUGGGGUAAAGGCCUACCAAGGCGACGAUCCGUAACUGGUCUUAGAGGAUGAUCAGUCAAACUGGAACUGAGAUACGGUCCAGACUCAUACGGGAGGCAGAAGUGGGGAAUAUUGGACAAUGGGCGAAAGCCUGAUCCAGCCAUGCCGCGUGUGUGAAGAAGGUCGUCGGAUGGUAAAGCACUUUAAGUUGGGAGGCGUUACCAACAGAAUAAGCACCGGCUAACUUCGUGCCAGCAGCCGCGGUAAUUC